AUCAAACUAUAAAACUCAAAUGACAUUAUCUCCCGUUUUUCUUGGUCGAUUGACUUCAAAUAAAAACUGGUGUGGACAUCAACUUCCGCACUUUCAAAUGAGACCAACCAGCGGCACGUGGGUGACGUAAUUACAGCGUGACGAAGCUUCAAAGACGAUAUGCGUAAAUGCGUCGCUGCCGACACGUUCGGUGUUAAAGGGUUAACAAAGUUGAUAGCAGGCGCUUGGGACGUCAAGACCAGCGUCGGUCGCUGUGGCAACCACGGCUCAGCCACGAAGGAGGACGCACGAACCUAACAGCCCAAAACCGGCCACAGAGGGAUGAUCCCGAAACAACACCCAGGCACACCUUCAGCCGGGCCCACUCCAACGUAGCCUUCAAAAACACGGGACACUGAGAUAACAAAUGCUUCGCUGCUCGGAAACAUUUUCUAUGUAGCCUUGUUUUGGAUCCAGCAUUGGUCCCUCCGUCGUCUGUUUUUACCUUGUUUUUGACAUAGUCGACAAAUAAAUUGUCAACCUGUUUUCGGUGAGCCUUCUUCAGACUUUUGGAACAUGGAGUCUGUACAAAGGGUUAAAAACGGAAGUGACUCACGCGGGGCGACAUCGGCAGAGCGGCACUUCGUUCGGCUGUCGCAGUUUCCGUGCGGCUUGGCCAGGGGGGCGAUUUCUUCAUUACCUAGAGUAACAUAGCUGUAAUCAGCUACGCAUUUUACGUACAUGUACCGUAGCCGAAAGCUACGACAUUAGCCUGGCUAAUGAAAUAUUUCAAAUAUAUCUUCGUUAUGGUUCCUCUUGGGUGAAAAAUACUGGUGCACGAUAAUUAUUGGUCCGAUAAUAGGAAUUAUGACGUCAUCCCGAUGAUUCCAAUAACAUUUAUGAUAGGACCGAUAAUAUGUACUGUUCUGGCUUUACAGUUUACGCACUAGUAUGGGAAAUCAGUUGACCAUUUGCGGGGCAUUGCUCCCACCUGCUGGUCAGAAUAAUUCACUGCAUCUAUUUUUUGUUACAGUAGUUUGGUUCAAUCACUUCCACAUUGCGGUGUCUAGCAGUAGCAUUGACAGUCGUGAAUGCUUUCUGUUACGUUUCCGCCUCGGAAAUAUUUGUAUGUAUUUUAUGUUUGCUAAAACAUAUGGAUGUGCAGUAUAUGUUUACUUCUGUGGUGAAGGGUCAUAUGUACAGAACUUCGUAAGUUGUGUUAUAGAAGCCAGCCAAUGCUUUAGUAGCUCAAGCUAGUGUGCUAUGCUAUACAUAUAAUAGUUGUGUAUAUAAGUGUAUUUUGCAGUUUGUUGUAUAUUGAGUAUUGAAUAUGUGUAUUUUUCUGUUCUAUGUAACCCAGUACAGAAAUCCUGAAGCUAUUUUAUUUUGAAAGUGCAAUUAUUUUGUAAAAGGAAAUAGUUGUUGUUUUAUGCUUUACUUCCUCCUGUGAGUUCACAUGUGAUGAUAAUAGUUUUUUAUUUGGUCCGAUUAACAUGAUCCCGCCCUCUCGAGACAUCGUCACGAAGGUUCUUUAUUAUCCGUUCUUUUCCGCUUGGAUGCUAAGGAGGAAGGACAUAGUGAACUUCCUCGGCGCUUGGAGCCAAUAGGUCAGCCUUGUUGAAAUAAAAUAAUUUACUCAAUGCUGAAAUAAGGCUGUUUGAACAAAUAAUAAGAAGGAAAUUCCAUUUCCUCUUGUAUGUGAACCGGAGGAUUGGAGCCUGCAUCCACCCAAGUUCACAUUAGAAGCAAAACUUCGUCUUGGCUGGGUUUUUUGUUUCUUCCUUUCAUUCUAUUCUUUGGAUGUGGAUGAAGAAUUGGAAACUGGAUAAAGACUUUUCCAACAGAUGACGAUGGCGAGCUCAUGCCCGGAAACCAACUGAUUUGAAUUUAGAUGGACUUUUGUUUAUGUUAUUGUAUAUAUUUGUGUAUAUAUUGCCGCCUUCAAUUGUAAAUAGUUUUGUACCAAUAUAAUUAUUUUGUUACUCAUCUGGACUCCAGUUAUUUCAGUUACUAAACAUUAUUUUCCUUAUUGUAAUCUCCGAGAACCUAGUUCUCUGCCCAAAUACAAUUGCAUUCACGGUUUCUAAAUAUCCAUCUUGCCUCCUCAGCUGUAGUUUUGGCUAAGCAAAGCAAACGGCUGUCUCUCAGGUGCUAUAGUCACAGGAUCUGUUCAAAAAAUAAUUUGGACCCAUUAUGAAAUACUUUGAAGGAUUCUUAUUCAUUUCAUUCAUUUUUGUUGUUUUAUUGCUCUAAAACUUUUAUAGACAACAUUUUAAUGGUCAUAUUCAAUGGUCUAUACUUUAAAGGGGAAGUUUAGAAUUUUUUACAUUAGGCUUAAUCUUUGAGUUAGCCUGGGUUCAAUUAGUCGCUGGAGUUGAUUUGAACAAAUUCUGUGCAGUUUGCCAGUUAUUUGAUAGUUUCAGGGCUUCGGAGUGAGAGCGCGAGUCAAUGGUGGUUGAAAUCAACUCCUUCAACUAAUUAAACCCCUGCUAAUUUGAAUAUUAAGCCUUAUGUGAAAAAUUAAAAUUGUCAAAUUCGCCUCAUGUUUCGCCGACGGAGGACAUUUUGGCAGAACGCCGGAACAUAUUUCCUCCACACCCUUCUCACCUUUUUAACCCCUGACCCAUUUUCAUGCCUGUUUAUGGAAGUGCAUUCAUUCUUAGCUGGCUGUCGGGCAGUGCAGAAUGGUAGUGAAACGCAGUUUUGUUCAUGUCAUUAUGAAAAAUCUGGUGAAAUGAAAGGCAAAUCUAUGUUGAAUCCACCACUAGUUUUUUUUUUUUAAACCUCCAGGUGUUCAAAAACUCAGGUUAUACAUUUAAAAAAUUAUAUUUUUAUUAUCGGUUAUCGAUAUCGGUUUCAAAAAUUGGAUAUCACGCACCCCUAGUGAAAAAACAUGAAAAAUUUUUUUCGCCGUGGCACGACAUGGUGUGACUGUCCAACUCCUAUGCAGCCCACCACUACAGUUUCAAAAAACCCUAGGGGAAACCCUGCAGUACUGUGUACACAGUGCAUCAGAAGAAAUAUCAUUGCAUGAGUUAAACUUGAUUACCAACCAAUUUUGGAGGCAAGUUUGUUUUUUUACAAGGUGGAGGACGAUCGCAGAAAAAAAAAAUGUUGAUGUGACUGUGAGGGUAAGGCUAAAAAAGCUCCGUGAAAGCGCUUUGAACGUCCACUAACUGUAUGAGCCCCGCUCUGCUGAUAAGGACGA